rnacentral:rRNA from 1 species
ACUGAAUAGAUACCCUGGUAGUCCACGCCGUAAACGAUGGAUACUAGCUGUUCGGAGCAAAUCUGAGUGGCUAAAGCGAAAGUGAUAAGUAUCCCACCUGGGGAGUACGCACGCAAGUGUGAAACUCAAAGGAAUUGACGGGGGCCCGCACAAGCGGUGGAGCAUGUGGUUUAAUUCGAUGAUACGCGAGGAACCUUACCAGGGCUUAAAUGUAGAUUGACAGGACUGGAAACAGUUUUUCUCGGACAAUUUACAAGGUGCUGCAUGGUUGUCGUCAGCUCGUGCCGUGAGGUGUCAGGUUAAGUCCUAUAACGAGCGCAACCCUGUCGUUAGUUGCCAGCGAGUCAUGUCGGGAACUCUAACGAGACUGCCAGUGUAAACUGUGAGGAAGGUGGGGAUGACGUCAAAUCAUCACGGCCCUUACGUCCUGGGCCACACACGUGCUACAAUGGUAGGUACAGAGAGCAGCCACUGCGCGAGCAGGAGCGAAUCUACAAAACCUAUCUCAGUUCGGAUCGGA